rnacentral:miRNA from 1 species
GAAAAUGAACUAUCAUCGUUUAAC